UAAUGUUGAGUUCUAAGGGAUGCCAUGC
rnacentral:piRNA from 1 species